CCUAAAUCUCUUUUCCAGGCAAUGCAAAGGCAUAAGCAACUGUAAAGACCUGCAGAGGUUGCUUCUGUCUGCCUGACUUGUGAGGUAUAAAGAAAGUAGAGAGAGCCAUUGGAAAUGUUAGUUGUCUUCACGCCUUUGAAAUCUGCUCCAUCACCCUUUCCUAAAGACAGGGGUCUAGUACUGAUGGUGCCACUUCUCAUGUUUUGAACGAUGUGGCAGUAGAGCACUGAACUAGGAGGGGGAAUAUCCAGCUCUCUGCUUUCCUCAGCCUGAGGAGGAAAUGUUCUCCCAUUUCCAGGACCUCCAGAGUGCCCUGACCAGCAGACCACCCCGUAUCAUGGACGAGAGCAUUCACCACCUCUUCUUUGCAAGCCAAGCCGUGCAAGCAAAACAAGGCAGCAGCCAGUGACAACACAGCCCUGCAAGCUAGCCCAUUGUUUGUUCAGACACAGUCAAGAUGACAUCAGUCUAUGUAAGAACACAGGAAAUAACAUUGUGGAUGAAGGCACAAAGUACUGAAGCUUCACAAAACAAAACAAAACACAAAACAAAACACAAAAGCGGAAUCUUUAUACAAAUACAGUAAAAAAAGACCACUUUGGGAAGGACCUACUCAAGAGGUAAAAAGUCACAUCAAUACUUCAGGCCGGCAGCAGUCAGGAUUUAUCAGAAAAUAGGAAGAGAACAUUUCUGACACAGAAGUAGUGAUAAGAGGAAAUGUACAGCGAAGGGUCUGCUUUGAUAACUGGAUUCACGGUGGUGCACCUUACCCACCCCGUGUGUCCCCCUGAGGCAGGCAGUGAGAUGUGCAGGAAAAGCCAUGUCACUCGGACACCUUGGGAGCAGCAACAAGAAUUCUGACCAUGAACUCAGCUAUUUGCUCAGAGGCCCUGAGAUCCCAAAGACUGCUUUUCCUUCACCAAAAAACUGAUGAGUUGACUGGCAUUAGAGACCAUCCAAACCAAGGCAUCAGAAGCUACAGAUCGCAGGGGAAAUCAGCUGCAUACCCAAGAGAAAGUUUUGGGACAAUGCAAUUCCAUUUUCCCUAUGACCUGUGUGGAGCUGUGAUAUCCAGAUCUUUAGUGCUGCUAACAGGGUGCUUUGCACAGGCAGAGCCCUGCCAGCUCUUCAGGCUGGGACUGAAUUUGCCACGAGAGCAAAUCACAGGAUGAGGAUUCAAAAUUAGGAACAGGACUUUGUCCCACAGAAAGCUCUUCUGCCAAGCAAGCCCAGGGUGUCAAGCUGGGAACCUAUUCAGGUUUUCUACAUUAUAUUCAGCUAAAUCAAUCAUUCGGUUGCUGCCAUCCUUAACUUUAAUUUCUCUUGUCUGGUUAGGCUUCAUCCUCUUUGGAGCAGACUCCUGUGGUGGGUUUGUGCCUGGUAGAGAGUGUGCAAAUCUGAGCCGGGGACAUAAUGGCUGCCCUUGGGUAAAUCAUAAUUUUCAUCUGAAAGGAGAAUGCAAAUGUCUUCUGUCUUGUCCUCCCACCCUGAUGCUCCCAGACCCCUGCUCUGGGGACAGGACCCUCUGCCUCCUUUCGUCCGGCUUUGCUCUGCCUUUCCCAAGCCCCGUUUCUGACUUGCACUCUCACCAAUUAUUUUUUUCAGAGACUGUAAACCUCAGUGCCAGCUCAGCUUGCAUUAGUGUCAGAGAAAUAUCUCUUGGCAGUUUACAAAAGAGAAAGUGGAAAGUUGAGCAUUAUUUAAUGUGAAAUGCGGUACUGUGCCUAUGCUGAGCUUCCCUAAGAGGCCUGAGGCUCCAGCUACCUGAAAAAGCUGGUAAAAGCUGCUGUCAUCCGGUGAUUCAGCUCGCCUCUCUGCCACGGCUCUGGACCUGCCUUGCGUGGGCAUCUUACAACAUGCAUGAACUCUGGUUUUGAUUCAGAGUAGAAGCUAGCAGGGAUAUUCACCCAACUUUCUCUUGUGUAGAAGUGUUUGUUGGCUUUUCAACUGCCCAAUGUUCUUUUGAAGAUGUAUAUAGCCAAGAAAAUUAUGUGAGUUUGCUUAUAGAUUGCUUUUUAGCUAUCCCAACUAGGAGCGAGAGAACCUGG
ensembl:lncRNA